UACGUAGGUGGCAAGCGUUGUCCGGAUUUAUUGGGCGUAAAGGGAGCGCAGGCGGUGAUUUAAGUCUGAUGUGAAAGCCCACGGCUCAACCGUGGAAUGGCAUUGGAAACUGGGUCACUUGAGUGCAGAAGAGGAAAGCGGAAUUCCAUGUGUAGCGGUGAAAUGCGUAGAUAUAUGGAGGAACACCAGUGGCGAAGGCGGCUUUCUGGUCUGUAACUGACGCUGAGGCUCGAAAGCGUGGGUAGCAAACAGG
rnacentral:rRNA from 1 species